GCCUCCAUAGCUCAGCUGGAUAGAGCACCGGUUUUCUAAACCGUAGGUCAUAGGUUCGAAUCCUAUUGGGGGUACAA
rnacentral:tRNA from 2 species